rnacentral:rRNA from 1 species
UACGUAGGUGGCGAGCGUUGUCCGGAUUUACUGGGCGUAAAGGAUGCGUAGGCGGAUAUUUAAGUGAGAUGUGAAAUACCCGAGCUUAACUUGGGUGCUGCAUUUCAAACUGGAUAUCUAGAGUGUGGGAGAGGAGAAUGGAAUUCCUAGUGUAGCGGUGAAAUGCGCAGAUAUCAGGAAGAACACCCGUGGCGAAGGCGGCUCUCUGGGACGGUACUGACGCUGAGACGCGAAAGCGUGGGGAGCGAACAGG